GGGGGCAUAGCUCAGCUGGGAGAGCAACAGACUGAAGUAUGUGUUCGAAAUUCGUUAGUAUCUUCUGGAGGUCCCCAGUUCAAUUCUGGGUGUCCCCA